AAUAGAUACCCAGGUAGUCCACGCCGUAAACGAUGGAUACUAGCUGUUGGAGGUAUCGACCCCCUUCAGUAGCGAAGCUAACGCGUUAAGUAUCCCGCCUGUGGAGUACGGUCGCAAGACUAAAACAUAAAGGAAUUGACGGGGACCCGCACAAGCGGUGGAUUAUGUCCUUUAAUUCGAUGCUAAACGAAGAACCUUACCAGGGUUUGACAUCCUUGGAAUUACUGCGAAAGCAGUGAGUGCUUUAUUGAACCAAGUGACAGAUGAUGCAUGGCCGUCGUCAGCUCGUGUCGUGAGAUGUUUGGUUAAGUCCAUCAACGAGCGCAACCCUUGUGAUUAGUUGUAUUUUUCUAAUCAGACUGCCCCGGUAACGGGGAGGAAGGAGGGGAUGAUGUCAGGUCAGUAUUUCUCUUACAUCCUGGGCUAGAAACGUAAUACAAUGGCGAGUACAAUGCGCAGCGAAGCCGCGAGGUGAAGCAAAUCGCAUCAAAGCUCGUCCAGUUCGGAUAAGAGGCUGAAACUCGCCUCUU
rnacentral:rRNA from 1 species